rnacentral:rRNA from 1 species
AUACGGAGGGAGCGAGCGUUAAUCGGAAUUACUGGGCGUAAAGCGCGCGUAGGCGGCUUUGUAAGUCGGAUGUGAAAGCCCAGGGCUUAACCCUGGAAUUGCAUUCGAUACUGCAUGGCUAGAGUAUGGUAGAGGGAAGUGGAAUUUCCGGUGUAGCGGUGAAAUGCGUAGAUAUCGGAAGGAACACCAGUGGCGAAGGCGACUUCCUGGGCCAAUACUGACGCUGAGGUGCGAAAGCGUGGGGAGCAAACAGGAUUAGAAACCCCUGUAGUCC